AUUCAAGAGAAAAUUGGUGGAUUUCAAGGAAUUAAGCAAGGUGAUGAGUCAUCUAACAAGGGUAAAGACAUUGUGCCAGAGGACCAAGAGUAUGGUAUUUCGAACUCCCGAUAUUGUUCAUGAUAGUCAGUAAAUAGCUGAUUUCGUCAAGGGCUACAGUUGGAUUUGCAUCCUCAAAAAUCAUAGUUUCACAGCCUUCGUUACUUUUGGUCAUUCGGGGAUCCACAUGUCAUUGUAAAUUAAAUUACACACUCUGGCUCACUGUGUUACUGUAUGUACGAAUUUAUUUUGCUUUUACGCUACAAAAAUUAUUUACGGAUAUCUCUAUAAAUAUUAUUUC